AGAGAUGUUAGAUCUGAUCAGUCUUAAAUAAAAACAGUGCUGCAAGGGUAAGAGAUGUUUUUCCUGACUCCUGGAGGAGUAUCUUAAAGUGCAGACUGGCGUAACCAGGUAAGAAAAGGUCAGAGUGCUCUUACAGAGAUGCCACAGAUUCAGACAAGGAAACAAAAGAGAGUUUCACUACAUAACCAGCAAAGCCCAAAUGGAUGUAAAAAGGGGAGGUGAGUAUAAAAGGAGGUCUGUAUUUGUGAGGGAGUCUGAAUCGGAAAAAUUCAGAUUUUUGCACGGCUGUUUCGAAUAUUUAUUCUGACUGGCCAAUUGCAACAUUUUACGAAUAAUAGUUUUAAUAAAUAUUUUUGUAUAAUGACCACUAAACUGUAAUUGACUGUUGUCCAAGGCAACCAACUUAUUUUCAUAUUUUUCUGUGAUAUUUUUCUUCUCACAUAAUGAAAUAAUUUAAACUUGGAUCAAUAUUUCAUGUCAACAGCCAUGUAAUAUGUUGGAUAACAUACAGUACAGCUAGCCGGUCAUUAUCACAAAAUGAUCCCCUUCAGGAUGAAGCUAGUCCCUGAUCACACUGUCAGGAUUUAUUUUCCAAUAAAGAACGGCUGGCUUUAUAUUAUCCCUUAUGAGUUAUGUGGAUCUUGUGUUGGUACAAACCUAUGAUAUUUACCUAGAUUCAAGGUGCUAGAGAACAUAUUGCAACACGACACAGGAUCACAGGACUGUAAAUGUAAAUUUGAGAGGAACUCUAUUCAUAGAAAAACACAUAUGAUGAUUGCAGAAUUCCCUCCAAACGGCAGGUUUUGUUGCUCUUUUUUUGUUGCUCUUUCAUAUUUGCACGAAUGCUCUAUUUGCAUAGGAACAAAAGAUACUGUUACAAGCUUGUUGGCUACAGAAGGCUCUUGGGAACUAUAAUUCAGUAUCAAGUUAAUAUGUAGCUGGUUCACAGUCAUGUAUAUCACAACAAGGUCAAAAGUUGAGAUUCCAACCGUGUAUUUCUGUUUUGUUUUUGUACACUGUCACUUUAUAUGGUAAUCAAGCCCUUUGGUGAAUGCAGAACGCCCUCUUUUUCUCUCCUAAUGAGGACAUCUUGUCACCCUCUAUAAUUUAGGAGACAGGAAGGUCAAGGUGAUAUCAGAAAGUAACGAAAGGGAAAUCCAAAGGAAGCAACUGUUUGUUACCUCCCUAUGUGAAGGCCAAAGGCUUGACAACUUUUAAUCAUAAAAACGUUAGUUCCUACUGAAUUCUGACUGGAUAAGCCGCCGUUUGAAGUUGUUAGUGGGUAAACACCUGUGACAGCACGUUCUAUAUUAUCGUGGUAUGGUGCUUAUUGCUAGUUGAUUGUAAACAACCUACAGUUUGGCUAAUGAACUAUAUUACUUGAAGAAUUGUUUAUAAGAGUUGUCCGAUUAUUAUUAUUAUUAUUCAUAAAUGUAACUAUUUAUAGAACGUUGGUGUCUUUUAUCAUAUUGCUGUUGCCGCCAUUUAUAAAAGCAAUAUGAUUAGGAGUUCCACAUCACUCUGUGCCUAAGAACAUCCCUUACCCACGGUAAAAUCACUGUAAAGUACAGCCUUGUGUUUUUAUUUAUUUAUUUUUUGCUCUAUUUGAAACUUGGCAUGCAGAAGGCGAGCAAAUGUUUCAUAAUUACAAUUUCGGCAUGAAAAGCUAAUAGUUUAGAGUUAAUAGACUUGAUUUACUAAUUAAAUUCAGAGCAGAAGUAGUCGUGAGAGGCAAUAAGUAUUUAUUGCGCUCUGGCACGAGUCGAAAGUGCCAAUCUGUUUCAUUUGGCAGGGCUGCACACUUCGCUUGAGGAAAUUCCCCACCAUCCGUGGGCACUGUUAACUACGCAAGUAAACAAACUCGCACUUACACGCACACAUACGAAAACAAGCCACGGCCUCUUAUACAAUUCACUUUAGACAAUAUUGAACAGCAGUGGGCUUAUAGAAUGAAGAGGAGGAACCGAAAGUAGGAAAGAAAAAGAGGUCAGGAGCAAGAACUUUCACUGCCGCCUUCUCAAUCUCUCGCAGUGGGUCCCAGUUGACAAAACACAGCACACCGCGCUACGCCCUCCUUUCAGAGUACCUGACUUCCCUCCAACCACUGUCCUCUAUGGCAUUUAACGAUUCAUUCUCUUUUUAUUUAUUUUAUUAUUUCUUUCACUCUAUUGCUCUCUUUCUCGCUGGUCUUACCCCCUGCACCCUUUUUGUUGCGCUUACUACCUCCCUUCAUCUUUUUCUCUCUCUCUAUCUCGCUGAAUGGAUGGGCUGUUGGCGAUUCAUUAAUCUUGAUGCAGCACCUGCACUAUGGCCGAGUGGGAGCGUCUGCCGCCAAAUGUCACAUUUCAUCGGAUUAAAUUAGCUUUAUCUCUGGCAAAUGCCUUCCCCUGCAAGAUCGCACCGAUUGUUUUUCACACCUCCCAGGAGCGAGGGAAGGGGGUUGGUUGGCAAGGGAGGCAUCAUCAUGUAUUCAUUCACCUCAGGAACGUUAGCGACGAGUUAGCCUAAUUGACGGGAGAUAGUCAUUACAGAAAAAAUGAGAGAAUAGAUAAAUAAAAUGGGGGAGGGAGGCAGGAGGGAGGAAAGAAGGCCAGUGGGGGACUACGCACUCGCUUGCAGAAAUGAAUAACAGCCAGGGAAUAUUUGAAUGAAUCUGCAUUAGUAUGACUACGUUUGCGUAUGCUGGAGAGCUCUUGUUAUUCAAAAGAAGGAUGCUCAACUCUCCCCCUCUUUUCCUCUCUUGGAAUGAGAAUGGCAGCUGCUAUGCACUAGGUUGGAUUCCCCUCUUAAAAACACAAUCACAUCAUGUUAGCCUGCCAAGUAAACAUGUACACACAAACAGCCGUCGCAGCUGAACUGAGCUUAAGACAUCCCCUCCGGGUUUACAUUUGGGUGCCAAAACUCUUGCAAGAGCUCUAUAAUUGUAUAUAUUAACAAAACACUUGCAUGCACAAAGAACAACAUUUGGCCCCUAGAUAUAUUUAAUGUGGACAAAAUUUACCCUACAAACCACAUCUGCAUGGUCUAAUUUCAUUGUUAAUUUGUGUAAAUACAACUUUGGAAAUUCCAUUUUAACUUCUUUGGAAGAAUUGGUGAAAAAGUCAGUGACCUCAACAAAACAGAUGGGCAAAAUGGAAUGUCGCCUGUCAGAUAUUGUGCCACGCCCUAAAUAUGCAGCUAGGCAAAGGAGGUGAGAACAAUGAUUGGAUGGGGAAAGGCAAAAUAACGCCAUCCUUCUCAGAGGGCGACGCCCACAGCAACAGGCAGCGGAGCUCUACAGAAUGACGUAAUGGGUCUGUAUCUUGGUCUGUAUAAGGAUAGUAUUUUGAAUCCCGAAGCUCAGGAUCACCAAAGCAGCCUGGCAAAUUGGAGGGUUUCUGGCAAAAGCAACCAAACGAGUGCACAGAAUUGUGGAAAGAACAACAAGGGACUUGAAGACAUUGUUUGGGAAUGACGAUAAUCUCUAAAGUGUCUGUUGCUGACAGCAGAGCUGUCAGGGGUGUCUUCUUAAGUAUUGGAGCACAGAGGUGUGGAGGAAUUGCCAUCUCUGGACACCGGAAUUUGUGUGAAACCGCCAGACCCUGUCACUUCCGAGCUUCCACUCUGCCACUCUUUGUAUUGUUAAUGCUGAAAUCACUAUUUUUAUUACUCACUCUCUAUUGUAACUGCUGGAUUGUAUUUCAUGUCAUGCAGGGUGCAAACAACUAUCCCUCAACCUUUUGCACUCUUUGUUCCGGCAGACAGCCAUUCACAUGAGAGGACAGGACUCAGAAGACCUGCUGCUUUUGAGAUGACAAUAUAUAUCGCCCCCUAAGUAGGUGUCCAUCCCUGCUACAUAGAAGGGAUGGAUACAACCGUAAUGUGCCUGAACCAAUUUAGCUACUGUCAGUUGUCUUUCACAGCAUGUGUGUCCAACUUCCCUCCCCUUUCACACACACAUAGACACAUUACACUUCUCAUCUCAAAGCGGCAGGGAAACCCUGAAAUAAAAGGGAAUCCUGUUUAGCUGUGAAAAAUCCACUUUUAUGUUCUGCAUAUAAUGUCUUUUGACUCUGCACUACCGUCUACUGUUCCACUUUUCUUAAAUGAGCUUCAGCUGGACUUGCUGUCAUUUUGAGAGCAGAAACAGGGAAACAAUUCAUUCUUGCUAGACCUCGAUCUCUAUACAAAUGUGUAGAACAAAGAGAUUAGUAGCUGACUCUGCAUGCUGGUAAACAGAUACAAUAAUCAAAAAAUUAGUCAUCUGCAGAAUCCGCAGUGCUAAGAAAUCUGAAGGCUUGUUAAGGUAUUUUUGUGCAUGUUACUCAUUUAUUUUUGUAUCUACUGAUAUAAGCAUCCAAUAAGAAUUGAAGGAAUUGCUGCAAUAUACUGUAUAUGUGUGAACUGGUUUUGGGAUGAGGCGAUAAUGAGGGAACAGGCAACACCAUUUUAUGGGACACAUUGAGAGAGGGCACUUAAAUAUGGUAAAAACAUCCAAACCUGUCCCAGUUAAACCUACCAGUUACAUUUGCUUGUUUUUAAUUUAGAUUUUUUGCCUACCUACCUUUGCAUACACUUUUUAUUCAUUUUCAGAUUUUACGCAGAAGCUUGCCCUCAUAAAACACCUUUUUUUCAUGGAGUCUUGGUGCUUGUCCUGAUUUAGCAUGGGAUCUAUUUCCGACCAGCCCUGGGGAAACACCUAACUUUGCCAUAGUGCAGUAGGCAUCCAUGAAUUUUAUGUGAAUGUAUUUCUGCUCGAGAGAGUAAAAGUUAAAAAUGUAAGUGUGUAUUUUAAUAAACAUGGACUUGUAUGUC